UACGGAGGGUGCGAGCGUUGUCCGGAAUCACUGGGCGUAAAGGGCGCGUAGGCGGCUCGAUAAGCGUGUGGUGAAAGCCUGGGGCUCAACCCCGGGUCGGCCAUGCGAACUGUCGAGCUGGAGCACUGUAGAGGCAGGCGGAAUUCCGGGUGUAGCGGUGGAAUGCGUAGAGAUCCGGAAGAACACCGGUGGCGAAGGCGGCCUGCUGGGCAGUAGCUGACGCUGAGGCGCGACAGCGUGGGGAGCGAACAGG
rnacentral:rRNA from 1 species